rnacentral:rRNA from 1 species
GAUGAACGCUGGCGGCGUGCCUAAUACAUGCAAGUCGAGCGAACAGACGAGGAGCUUGCUCCUCUGACGUUAGCGGCGGACGGGUGAGUAACACGUGGAUAACCUACCUAUAAGACUGGGAUAACUUCGGGAAACCGGAGCUAAUACCGGAUAAUAUAUUGAACCGCAUGGUUCAAUAGUGAAAGACGGUUUUGCUGUCACUUAUAGAUGGAUCCGCGCCGCAUUAGAUAGUUGGUAAGGUUACGGCUUACCAAGGCAACGAUGCGUAGCCGAACUGAGAGAGUGAUCGGCGACACUGGAAGGGAGACGGGGACCAGGCGCCUGCGGGAGGCAGCAGAAGGGUAUGUUCGGCAGUGGGGGAAAGCAUGACGGAGCAGGGGAGAGUGAGUGGUGAAGGUCUUCGGAUAGUAAAACUCUGUUAUUAGUGAAGAACAACUGUGUGAGUAGAUAUGCACAUAGUGACGGUACCUAAUCAGAAAGCCACGGCUAACUACGUG